rnacentral:rRNA from 1 species
UACGUAGGCAGCGAGCGUUGUUCGGAGUUACUGGGCGUAAAGGGUGUGUAGGCGGUUGUUUAAGUUUGGUGUGAAAUCUCCCGGCUCAACUGGGAGGGUGCGCCGAAUACUGAAUGACUUCGAGUGCGGGAGAGGAGAGUGGAAUUCCUGGUGUAGCGGUGAAAUGCGUAGAUAUCAGGAGGAACACCGGUGGUGUAGGCGGCUCUCUGGACCGUAACUGACGCUGAGACACGAAAGCGUGGGUAGCAAACAGG